CGAGGAUCCCUGGAAUUCUUCAGGGGUAAAGUGUUUUGAGCUUGGAAUUCUUCAGGGGUAAAGUGUUUUGAGCUUGGAAUUCUUAAGGGGUAAAGUGUUUUGAGUUUGGAAUUCUUCAGGGGUAAAUGGUUUUGAGCUUGGAAUUCUUCAGGGGUAAAGAGGUUUGAGAUUGAAAUUUUUCAGAGCUUGGAAUUCUUCAGGGGUGAAGGGUUUUGAGCUUGGAAUUCUUCAGGGGUAAAAGGUUUUGAGCUUGAAAUUUUUCAGGGGUAAAGGGUUUUGAGUUUGGAAUUCUUUAGGGGUGAUGGGUUUUGAGCUUGGAAUUCUUCAGGGGUAAAAGGUUUUGAGCUUGGAAUUCUUCAGGGGUAAAGAGUUUUGAGCUUGGAAUUUUGGAAUUCUUCAGGGGUAAACAGUUUUGAGCUUGGAAUUCUUCAGGGGUAUGACAAUGAAAAACAUGUAUCCUCGACAGGGAGGGUACGGAUAUUAAAUGGAAUAGCCC